GAUUAACGCUGGCGGCGUGCAUAACACAUGCAAGUCGAACGAAGUGGCGGACGUGUGAGUAACGCGUGAGUAACCUGCCUUAGAGAAGGGGAUAGCCUUUGGAAACGACGAAUAAUACCCUAUGCUCUAAGAUGGACUUGCGUCUGAUUAGUUAGGUGGUGAGGUAACGGCUCCCCAAGCCCGCGAUCAGUAGCCGGCUUGAGAGAGUGUACGGCCACAUUGGGACUGAGACACGGACCAGACUCUACGGGAGGCAGCAGUGGGGAAUUUUGCACAAUGGGGGAAACCCUGAGGCAGCGACGCCGCGUGAUUGAGAAGGCCUUCGGGUUGUAAAAAUCUUUUCUAUGGGAAGCAGUACCAUAGGAAUAAGGACCGGCUAAUUACGUGCCAGCAGCCGCGGUAAUAC
rnacentral:rRNA from 1 species